UGGUAGUUCACAAACUAUAUUUAUUAAUAUCAUCAAAUGUACCUGAAUUUAAAACAAAAUAUUAGACUUUAUUUUUCUAUCUAGAGCUAAAGCUUUGUUUUACAAUAUCAAUGCAAUUUUCCAGAUUUCGGGAAAAGCAUUUCAGUUUUGUAUCUCUCUGCUACAAAUGUCUAUAACAAGCUUCAAGAUUCAAUAAUUUUAGAACCUAAGUAUGAUGCAGAACUUUAGUAAAAACACUCACCUGUGGAAUCAUUGUUGUAAGCAAGGUAAUUUCUUCCUUCCGUCCUUCUUUCCUCCCUCCCUCUCUCUUCCUCCCUUCCCUCGUCUUUUUUUUUUUUUUUUUUUUGGCUUUUUAGGGCCACACCUGAGGCACAUGGAAGUCCCCAGGUCGUAUCAGAGCCACAGCUGCUGGCCUACACCGUAGCCACAACAACACAGGAUCUAAGCCACCUCUGCAACCUACACCACAGCUCAUGGCAAUGCCAGAUCCUUAACCCACUGAGUGAGGCCAGGGAUCGAACCCACAUCCCCAUGGGUAUUAGUUGGAUUAGCUUCCACUGUGCCACAAAAGGAACUCCAGCAAUGCGUAAUUUCAACUUUACUAAAGUAAUGAAAAGUUUUUUUUUCAAGAUUUUUGCCUAUCCUUGGUAUUAUAUGAUUGUAUAAAAUGGUAUCUAAUUGUACUUGAAUUUCCUUGGCGACUUAGAGACCUAAAACAUUUUUGUGUUAAUUGACUUUUUGAUCUUCUUCGUAUAUAAUUUUUUCCCCUAAGUCAGCCUUUAUAUAAUCUGGACACUUCAAUUGCCAGUUACUGGUAGAUACAUUCAAGUACGCUGCCUUUUCAUAUUUAAAUUUCUAAAUUUAAUACAAUCAGAUGCAUUAACCUUUUUAUGGUUCACUUUGUGUGUGUGUCACAGUCAACUUCUUUCUUGCACUAAAUCAUAAUAUUUUUCUGUAUGUCUUUCUCUCUUUUCUCUUUCUGGCUGACCCACAAUACAUGGAGUUCCUGGGCCAGACAUCAGAUUGGAGCGGCAGCUGCAACCCAAUGCCGAACUUGCGGCAAUAGUAUCCUUCAACCCACUGUGCCAGGCUGGGGAUCAAACCUGCAUCCUGGCGCUGCAGAGACACCACGGAUUCCACUGUGGCACAGCGGGAACUCCCUGUAUAUCUUUCUAAAAUAGUUUAAGAUAGUUCUCAAUCCACAAAGUUUUUUGCAUAUGGUGUGAGAAAGGUGUAUGAUGUACUUUCCCCCCACACGGACAUGAGACUGUCCUGAUGUCAUUUAUUGAAGACUCCUUCAUUUUCUCCACUGUCACAUCAAGUUCUCGUACAUCUGUAUACCAGAGAUCUAUACAUCCAUCCUUGCACCCCUACGGCGGCUUUAUUACUGAAACUGUUUUAAGUCCUGCUAUUUUGUAGGAUAGAUGCCCCCCCCUCCCCGCUACUAAGAUCCCUUCUUAAAAAACCACCUUGGCUCUUUGUCUUUCCACAUUAAGUUAGAUUUAUUGAAUUCCAUGAAAAACUCUGUUGAGAAUUUGUUUGGAACUUCAGUGAAUUUAUAGAUUACUUUGGCAAGAACUAAUACUUUAAUAUUGCUUGCUCCAUUUAUUGUGGUCUGCUUUUAUAAAAUUCUUGCACAUUUACUAGGUGUAUUACUAGGUGCCUUGUAGUUUUUACUGUGAAUGAAACUGUUUUAAAAGACUAUGCUUUUAAAUAGACUGUUUUGCGUGAAAAGGAGCAUUACUGACUCUUGCACCUUGGUCUUACAUCCUCAGACCCUCAACUUCCAUAUUCGUUAUAAUACUUUGUAGUUUACCUUGGACUUGCAGGUAAACAAUUAUCUUGCCCCUUAAUAACAAUUGUUUCUUACUUUCCAACCCUUAUGGUUAUUUUGUCUUCUAAUCUUAUCGCACUGGCCAAGAUAUCAGUGCAAUGUAGAACAGAUGCACAGUAGCCAUUCUUUUUUAUUUUUUUAAUGCUUGCACCUGUGGGAUAUGGACGUUCCUGGGCUAGGGGUUGAAUCAGAGCUACAGUUGCAGGCCUAUGUCACAGUCACGGCAACGCCGGCUCCUAGCCGCAUCUGCAAACUACAGUGCAGCUUGCUCAAUGCCGGAUCUAUAACCUACUGAGUGAGGCCAGGAAUUGAACCUGAUUGAACACAGUGUCAGACUGAUUCUUAACCCUCUGAGCCACAAAAGGAACUUCCCACAAUAGCCAUUCUUGUUCUGUUGUUGACUUUAAAGAAACAUCUCUGAAGUUAUACCACUGUCAUGCUAACUGUAAGUUUUUAGUAAGUUAUCAUUUAUCAUACUAAAGAAGCUUCUGUCUAUAUGUAAUCUACCAAGAAGAUGUUUCAUUUAAAAUGAGUGUGUUGCAUUCUGUUGAUUUGUUUCCUCCUGCAAUCACUGAGUUGGUAAUAUAGCUUUUCUCUUUAACCUAUUUAAUAUGGCAUAUUGCAUGAAAAGAUUUUAUGCCAUUCUCCCAUUCUGGCAAUAAAUUUUAUUUCAUUUUUUUUGGGGGGGCUUUUUGGGGCCGCGCCCACAGCAUGUGGCGUUUCCCAGGCUAGGGGUCUAAUCGGAGCUGUAGCUGCCGGCCUAGCCACAGCCACAGCCACGUGGGAUCCGAGGCAUCUGCAACCUACACCACGGCUCAUGGCAACGCAGGAUCCUUAUCCCACUGACAGAGGCCAGGGAUCAAACCCGCAACCUCAUGGUUCCUAGUCGGAUUCGUUUCCACUGUGCCACAACGGGAGCUCCAACAAAUUUUAUUUUAAAAGAAAUAAACACAUUCAUCUUUUAAAUGGAUGCAUUUUAAUUGGUGAAUCUGAAAUGCUACUAUCCUGGCUAGUCUGGCCACGUCCACAGAGUGACUGGACUACAUUACUUCUCCCUGCACAUGUACCCUAUGUGACUUUAAUAUCACAGUUGAGUUCCCCUCCCCUUUUAAAAAACUCUCUACUAACAGUAUUUAUAAAGAUUGUUUCUUGAAGGUUUAACAGACCACACUAUAAACCAUCUAGAUCUGGUGGAUUACUUGGGAGUAGAUUUUUAAAAAGAUUCAAAUGCAGUGCUAUUUUAUAAACAUACAUUGAUCCAUAUUUUUAAAAUAUCUAAAAUUUCAAAUUUAUCCACAUAAAUUCGCAACAGCUUUGCCAUUAAAAAGCUUAACUACAUCCUUACUCUUAACUUACUUCUUUUUUCAUAUCAAGGUGUCUUUUUUAUUUGGCUGCACCCACAGCACAGAUGUGGCAAUGCCAGAUUCUUACCCUGCUAUGCCAGAGUUGAACUUGUCUUUUUUCAUUGGAAAAAAGAUCUGCCAGGAUAGGGACAACCUCUAUCAUGAUUUCAUCAUCGCAGAUUAGCUGAAAACCUUUUCCCCUUUAUGCUUUUAUGUCCUUUGUUGCCUAUCCCAAAAUAUAAUCUCCUGUUUCAUUUAUUUCCCCUUUCACAGUUAGGCUAUAUUCCAUAUGGAACUGACUUUUCUGUCUUGUGUGAGGGAGGGGGUCUAGAUAAUUUUUUAUUGGAAAGACCAUCAUUUCAUCCAUCGCAAUGGUGUCCAUCAGUUCUAAGUCAGACGAUCUGUGUUUGCAGAUCUGUGCCUACGCAUCCUGUAACAUUGGUCUAUUUGUCUAUCCUUGCGCCAACCAACUUUACAGUCACAGCUAGAUAACAAUCUAAGCAUUUAUUUACAUGUUUUCAAGUUUCUCUCAAGGUUAUGAUUUUCUUUCAAAGAUUUAUCUUUAGGUAUCUGAUAUUUUAUGCGAGGGUAAACUGCAUCAUUUUAACGAUUUCAAUUUCUAUUUGUUUCUGAUAUAAAUACAAUUGGUUUUUGUAUACUUUGUAUCCAGCGACCUUGAUAAAUUAUUUUGUUCAUAGAUUCUUUUGCACUUUCUAUGCACAAUGCUGGCUGUCUAUCAAUAGUGUUAUUUCCUCCUUUCAAAACUGAUGCCUUUACUUCAGGCCUUAUUUUACUGGUUAGGAUUUCAAAUAUAAUGUUAAACAGUAAUGGUUGUUGUUAUUGUACUUCAAAGAUCUGACUUGUUGGCUUUGUUGAUCUUCUCAUAAAUAAACUAUGUUAUUUCAUUCACUUCCGAUCUUUUAUUUUUCCUUAUUCUUUUUCUAGCUUCCUGAAAAUAGGAGUUUAGGUCACUGAUUUUCAGCCUUGCUGCUUCUUUUUUUUUCUUUGCCACAUAGUGCAGUGGCUUGAUAUGGAAUCUCAGUUCCCAGACCUGGGAUAGAACCAGGGCCGCAGCGGUAAAAGCUCCAAAUCCCAACCACUACAUCGUCAGGGAACAUCCCACUUGCUUCUUUUUUAAUAUAUGUACUUAAUGCUAGAAAUUUCCCUACAUACAUUGCUUCAGCUGCAACAAAUUUUGGUAUCUUUGUUACUCUUCACUCAAAACAUUAAAAAAACAUUUUUUUGACCCAGAGUGUUUCAAAACGUACUACAUCAUUUCCAAGCAGUUGGGUUUUUUUGGGGGGGGGCGCGGGGGCAGGAGUUGCCUGCAGUAUGUGGAACUUCCCAGGACAGGGAUGGGAGCUGGGCCACAGCAGCAACCUGGGAUGCUGCAAUGCCAAUGCCAGAUCCUUAACCUGCUGUGCCACAAAAGAACUCCAGUUGGGAGUUUCUUUAGCCAUCUUUUUGUUAUUGGUUUCCAGCUUAAUUCCAGUGUUAGGAAAUAAAGAAUGAAGGCUCUUGAUCUGUUGCAAUUUGUAGUCUGGUUUGCAUUAUGACUCAGCA
rnacentral:lncRNA from 1 species